rnacentral:rRNA from 1 species
UACGUAGGGUGCAAGCGUUGUCCGGAAUUAUUGGGCGUAAAGGGUGUGUAGGUGGCGCGCUAAGUCGGGUGUGAAAUUUCGGAGCUUAACUCCGAAACUGCAUUCGAUACUGGCGUGCUUGAGGACUGGAGAGGAGACUGGAAUUCAUGGUGUAGCAGUGAAAUGCGUAGAGAUCAUGAGGAAGACCAGUGGCGAAGGCGGGUCUCUGGACAGUUCCUGACACUGAGACACGAAGGCCAGGGGAGCAAACGGG